rnacentral:lncRNA from 1 species
GACAUAAAAAGCAAAUUGUCUGUAAAAAGCCCCAAGCAAUUUGCGCGUCAGCCUUUUUAAGUUGGUGUAAUAUUAGCCACACUUACACUCAGUAUUGUAAACUACAGUUGUCAAAGGCACCUGCGUCUCCCAGCGUUUACCAACAUUUAGAUUUUGUGUUAAAGAAAAAAGAAAAAAAGAAUUCACUGGUAAUCUUCUGAGGAGUUAAACCAGAAGUAGAUCUGGAAAAUAUGUUAACCAGUCUUCAAAAGUAUUUCCGUUCCCGGAAGUCUUCACACCCUUUGUGACUAUGCCUUUUGUGACAUUUCCACACAUGUGACCUUCACACUCACCACGUUGAUUCCAACAGACAAGUCGUGGUCAGGGUUUUAUAGAGAUGGUAAGGUAAGACUUUGAAGCUGCUGUACAUCAUCAAUUCAGUCUGAAAAACAAUCUCUGUGGUUAAGCAUGUUAAAUCCCCUUGUGCUUUCACAGCAGCUUGGCUAAAGGUUAUUACUAUGAAGGCUCGGAGGGGGAGACCGAGUGCUCUCGCUGAAGCGAAUUCAAAGGAGUUACUCAUCUUGUGUGCAUUUCCAUGGAACCUCAUCAUCAGUUCGGGUGUCUACAACCUUCAUUGUGGAGUGGAUGAACCAAGAAGUGGGAUUUCACCAGACAUCAACCUUGAUCAACACCUUGAUCUCGGACUUCCCAGUCUCCAGAACUAUGAGAAAUGAAUUCCUGUUGUUUAUAAGCCACUGCAUCUAUGGGACUUUGUUAUAGCAGCCCAAAGUGACCAAGACAUCAUUCAACAUUGCUCACCAUCUCAGUCUUAGAGUACUUUUGAAUGGUGACUUCCUUUCUUAGGUGACAUAACUCACUACUAGUCAUCUCAAUUUGUGGGUGGAAAUAAAACACUUACAUCAUCCUGAUUCA